UUGAGUUAGCUGUCCUACCAACAGGGAAAUAACCUUGCUCUCUCUUUGACAUCUCCCCCAAAGCAACUUGGAAGCAUAGUAUUGAAAAUGGCCUGGGUUUCUGGGAGUGUGUGACUGGUUUUUCUGGUUCAGCCUCUCACCCUGGGACGCGCUGGGGGAUCCGAUGACGUCGCUGGCCGAGCUUUCCUCUCUCCCCCCCCCCUCUCUCUCCCUCUCUCACUUCUUGUAACUUCUGUUCUGGGAAGUGGUGCCAGGAAUAACCCUGUCUGACUACAGAUCAGAAAGGCUGCUGCUCCCUCAUCCAGAAAACUGCGGCUCUGGCCUCUCUUCUCCCUCUCAAGCCCAGCUUCACCUUAAGUCUGUCGCUCUGUGUACAGUAUAAGAAAAUAAAUAAAGGAAAGAGGAGCCUUG